rnacentral:rRNA from 1 species
AGUGAACGCUGGCGGUAGGCCUAACACAUGCAAGUCGAACGGCAGCACAGUAAGAGCUUGCUCUUACGGGUGGCGAGUGGCGGACGGGUGAGGAAUACAUCGGAAUCUACUUUUUCGUGGGGGAUAACGUAGGGAAACUUACGCUAAUACCGCAAACGACCUACGGGUGAAAGCAGGGGAUCUUCGGACCUUGCGCGAUUGAAUGAGCCGAUGUCGGAUUAGCUAGUUGGCGGGGUAAAGGCCCACCAAGGCGACGAUCCGUAGCUGGUCUGAGAGGAUGAUCAGCCACACUGGAACUGAGACACGGUCCAGACUCCUACGGGAGGCAGCAGUGGGGAAUAUUGGACAAUGGGCGCAAGCCUGAUCCAGCCAUACCGCGUGGGUGAAGAAGGCCUUCGGGUUGUAAAGCCCUUUUGUUGGGAAAGAAAAGCAGCAGGUUAAUACCCCGCUGUUCUGACAGUACCCAAAGAAUAAGCACCGGCUAACUUCGUG